AUUUAAAUCAGAGAAAAAAUACCCUGUGCGUUUUGUUUCCUUAAAAACUUUAUUGACAGAUUUAGUCAAAUUGAACAGAAUUCUCUCUAGCAAAAUGUCUAACAUUAAUUCCAAGCAAAGCAAAAUAUUGGUACAUUCCAAGCAAAGCAAUGUCAUACAAAAGUAACAAAAUACAUAUUCUAAUAUCCAAAAUUAUCAAAUUACAUCCAAAUCACAUCCAAAAGUUACAUAAAAAAUACAUCUGAAAAUGCGUUCAUCACUGACACCGGAAGCCAUCCUCCAUGUUCCUUCACCUACACAUAGUAUAGACCCCUGAUCAUUAAAAUUUAAUAUUUUUUAGUAUAGUAAGUCAAUAUCAUCAAUCUCCUGCCAAUGACAGAAAAUAAAGCACCAUACAUACUUCAUUACACACAAAUAUCUAGAGCUAAAGAAGGAUGUUACUCGAUUCCAAAAACUUGAAAGUAAUCAUAGAUCCACAUACAAACUUGAGCAAACUAAAAAAGGUGAGAACAACUACACUAAGAUGAACAAACUAAAAAAGGUGAGAACAAGGUAGAAGAUACAAUACUUGUAUCAAAACUUUUCUAGCAGAAGAUUGCUUGCCUAUCAAUAUUCUUCAAGUAUCUUGACCAAGGGAAGUAGUCCUUUUUCAGAUGUUGUGGCCAAGAGAUCCUAUAACCUAAAGCCUAUUAAUUAAUAUUAUGGGUUAGUAUAUAGCAUAUCACAUUCUUAACACGAAUUUAACAGUGAAUUCAUCACUUUAACAAAUAAACUGGAACAAGUACUUAGAUGCAUCACACAAAAGAAAAUUGCAUUCUUAUGUGGCCCCCUGUUAAUCAGUUAAGAUUGUUUAAAUAUCCUCCAAGAGAAAAUUAACUUGCAAACAAGAAGUUGCAGAAAAUUGCACAACAUGGUUAUCCAUGAGAGAUUAAAACCUAUAAUGAUCAAAUUUGGUAAUUAACUUUUCAGAAUAUGAUAAAAUUGUGAAUACCCAUCUUAAACAAUUAGUAAUACCCAUCUUAAAACUAAUAUAUUUAUAAAAAAAAACAGAAAAAAAUCAAAGUAAAGAGAUUCGUACAUCCAGAUUUAAAGCAAAGAACAAACCUAGAUUUUCAAAUGCCUAAAAAAAUUAUACAAUACUCCAAAAUAAAUGAUUUGGUCUAAAAAAACCCAGAUUUUAAAAUGCCUAAUUUUCAAUACCCAGAUUUUCAAAAUUAUACAAUACUCCAAAAUGAUUUGGUCUAAAAAAAUUAUACAAUACCCAUAUUUUCAAAUGCCUAAUUUUUCAUGUUUUAAUCAAAAUAACCUUAUUGAGACAUUUUUACAAACACCUAACAUACAUAAGUUAAAAAAAAAUUGAUAUGUAUAUUAACUUGCUUCAUAGAAGUUAACUUGCUUCAUCGCAGACACCUAAAAUGCAAAAAAACAAACACAGAUACAAGGCUAUCAGCCACAAUCUAAUAAACAACUCUAAUUAAAAAAAUAAUGAGCCUGACCUUACGAUUUGCAAACCCUAGCUUCAAAGGGGCUUUGUUCUGUUCUAUGUCCGGCGACUUCUUGAAUCUACCUUACGACUUCGCGAAUGGAAGAGAAAGAGAGAAGGAGGGGUUUUCGAUCUGUAAGAAUUGGAAGAAUAAGAGAGAAGGAGGGAGUCUUCCCACUGAAUUCGCGAGAAGGAGGGGUUUUUGAUCUGCAGCUUUGGAAGAAUACGAGAGAAGGAGGAAGUCUUCCCACUGAAUAAUCGAGUUUUUUUUUACGACCCGAUCUGUCAUUUUGACCCGCGUGUUUCUCUUUUUCUUGAGUCCAUUUGUUAGUCCGUUUCUG
rnacentral:lncRNA from 1 species